GACGAACGCUGGCGGCGUGCUUAACACAUGCAAGUCGAGCGGAAAGGCCCUUCGGGGUCCUCGAGCGGCGGACGGGUGAGUAACACGUGAGUAACCUGCCCCAGACUUUGGGAUAACCCUCGGAAACGGGGGCUAAUACCAGAUACGACACAGCGUCGCAUGGGGUCUGUGUGGAAAGUUUUUCGGUUUGGGAUGGGCUCGCGGCCUAUCAGCUUGUUGGUGGGGUGAUGGCCUACCAAGGCGACGACGGGUAGCCGGCCUGAGAGGGCGACCGGCCACACUGGGACUGAGACACGGCCCAGACUCCUACGGGAGGCAGCAGUGGGGAAUAGUGCACAAUGGGCGGAAGCCUGAUGCAGCGACGCCGCGUGAGGGAUGACGGCCUUCGGGUUGUAAACCUCUUUCAGCAGGGACGAAGCGUAAGUGACGGUACCUGCAGAAGAAGCGCCGGCCAACUACGUG
rnacentral:rRNA from 1 species